rnacentral:rRNA from 1 species
GACGAACGCUGGCGGCGUGCUUAACACAUGCGAGUCGAACGGAAAGGCCCUGCUUUUGUGGGGUGCUCGAGUGGCGAACGGGUGAGUAACACGUGAGUAACCUGCCCUUGACUUUGGGAUAACUUCAGGAAACUGGGGCUAAUACCGGAUAGGAGCUCCUGCUGCAUGGUGGGGGUUGGAAAGUUUCGGCGGUUGGGGAUGGACUCGCGGCUUAUCAGCUUGUUGGUGGGGUAGUGGCUUACCAAGGCUUUGACGGGAAGCCGGCCUGAGAGGGUGACCGGCCACAUUGGGACUGAGAUACGGCCCAGACUCCUACGGGAGGCAGCAGUGGGGAAUAUUGCACAAUGGGCGGAAGCCUGAUGCAGCAACGCCGCGUGCGGGAUGACGGCCUUCGGGUUGUAAACCGCUUUCGCCUGUGACGAAGCGUGAGUGACGGUAAUGGGUAAAGAAGCACCGGCUAACUACGUG